rnacentral:rRNA from 1 species
GACGAACGCUGGCGGCGUGCUUAACACAUGCAAGUCGAACGAGUGGGAACGGGUGAGUAAUACGUGGGUAACCUCCCAUCAGAGGGGAUAACACUUGGAAACAGGUGCUAAACCGAUACUGUGGGAUGGCCCCGCGGUGCCUUAGCUAGUUGGUGAUGUAACGUCUCACCAAGGCCCCGAUGCCUAGCCGACGUGAGGGGGUGAUCGGCCACCCUGGGACUGAGACACGGCCCAGACGCCUACGUGAGGCAGCAGUAGGGAAUCGUCGGCAAUGGACGAAAGGCUGAACGAGCAACGCAGCGUGAGUGAAGAGGGUGUGCGGAUCGUAAAACUCUGUUGUUAGAGAAGCGGUAUCUAACCAGAAAGCCACGGCUAACUACGUGCCAGCAGCCGCGGUAAUAC